rnacentral:misc_RNA from 1 species
AUAUCAAAGUUAGAACCUUUUGUUACAUGUAGAAACUAGUGUUUCAGAGGGUUACAGUGGGGGGUCUUUUUCUUUUUACUUUUUCUUUUCCUUCAAAACAUAAAGCAUGAUCACGGUACACAUAUAAGCAGAGAGUUAGGAAAGUGAAAGAAAAAGGGACAGUAGCCCCCACAAUCGUAGAAGAUAGAACAUACCAGUGAUUUCGACUGCUCCAUAGUCGAGAAUAAGAUAUCCUCUGUGAUAAUCAGCCUCGGGAGAAGAACUUCUACCCUUGCACAUUUCAGCCAAGCAACAGUAAUAAAGGUAACGUAACAAUGACAAACCCCUUAAACAAUGUUCUUUUGACACCUGGGUCAUUAUAGGGUCAAUGGAGCCAGCUACACAAAUUAAAGCAUAUCUUUCAACAAUGGCCCUUGAACCCAAACGAUGUAGACAUUGAACCGUAAUCAAUUAUACAGCUGCUUAUUUCAUAUCAUUUCAUACAUGUCAUAGAAGAGACCAAAUUUCCAACAAAUGAUUGACUAAGUGAUAGAUCUUGACUCAAUUUCCACAAAGUAAUUCCUGUGAUUCAAAAACCAAAAAAUAUGUGAUUUCAGUUUGCAACAGUACAAAAAAGUUGCACAAUGGUCAUAGUUUACAAAAUCUGACCUAAUUAAAUAAAGAAAGAUUAAUGAUUAGAAAAAGGGGACAAAGAAGAUAGAUUUGUAUAAUUGUUACCAGAUCUCAUUUUAAAAAAUCUACUUGAAUAUUAAACAUUUUAUUUUAUUAAACUAAAUAAGUGUAGAACAAAAGACAAAAGGGAAGUUCAUAAAACGCCCUCUGUUGUGCACAUGUUCCAACACGAUUGUUCAAGUUGCUUCCAGUUGAUGGUUCUGAAAGAAUCUUCUUCAUUCAAGUUUCCUUCUGACCAGUCCUUUGAAGAAGUCAAAACUGCAGCCACAUUAGAAACAAGACUUUGAUUACUUCCAGCAAGACAACAAUCGGAAUAGGGCUAUAUAGAAACAGAACUUCAAAUGUAAAAUCAUGCGGAAAUAAUUGCUUAUUGAUACAAGCAUACUAUAAUUAAGAUUUUCUAGCUGCUUAGCUGAUGACCAGAAAAAUUCUGAAAGCUGUAAGGAAGCUGCCAAUGACCUUCCUCAGCUUCACAUACAAAAUAUUGGCAGCAGGUGGCAGAACAAGGCAUCUAGGUUGUGUGAAAUUAUUUUACUCAUUGAUGCAUAAGGGCCCACUGUAAAUUCUCAGAGAGAAAGAAAAUAGGAGAUCAAUACAUACUUUUCCACGUAUAGCUACACCAAGACACAUCAGAUUCUACGUUAGUUACUCCAAAUUAUUCAAAAGAUAGGAGAAAGCCAUAUAUUAUUAGAGGAGAGAUUUUGGACUGGAUGCUAGACAUAAGCACAUAUACAGACACCCACCUAUAUUUAUCUAUAUGCAGUUAUGCACACAUACAAUUAGGUAAUAAGUACUAGAUAUUGCAAAAUCAAACAUGAUAGUCUUACCUAGAGAACAAACCUUGAGAUAUGAACCAUGAGCGAGUAUGCAUUCUAAAAUAUGUAGUUUUGAAGACAAUGAUAAAAUAAAGGGUGAAAACGUUAGAACACAUCCCCCUUCAAAAAGAAAAAUCUGUGCUUUUGGGCGGAAAAAAGAAGGGAAAAACUGAAAAUGCAAAAACCAGAAAAAUUAUUUGCAGGGUUUCUCAAGAAAGGGACUAAAAAAAACAAUUUACAAGUACAGUCUCCAAGCAUAUAUCCUUCAAUGUUGUCGACAGAGACCAUAACAUCAUAACAUUUAACAAAAUCAGGUGAGUCAUUCAGCCAACAUUAUUGAUCCUAAUCAUUCAUGGAAAGAUGAGGACAAACAAAAAAGCUCAAGUGCUCAUCAAUAAUGAGAAAGCAAGCAAUAAAAUUUUCAAAGAUGAGAUGGAACAUUCAAGAGUUUCUAAAGAUCUUAUAUGGUACUCUUUAAAUGGCAAUUGAUAAAAAUAUAAAGAUGACAAGGUUUAGGUUGAGAAAUGUAAGCCCGAUUUUUUCUCUUACAUUAUCCAUGGAUGAUCAACUAAAAUUUGUAAUUCGACAAAAAAUUCUUCCACAUUUUACCAGUGCAUUUGAAAGCUACACUAAUGAGAUCAAUGACGGCUGGAACUGUGGAAGUUAAUUGCAAUUCCAGGGAAGACAGAAUUAUACAAAGCAAAACGAAUAUCAGAUGUUACAACCUCAGUUAGGCCACUGAUGGAAGCCCCUUUUUGAAGACAAUAAAAAAUCAAUAAAAUGCAUGAGAGUAAUCACCUUUUGUGGUGCUACUUGCUGGCAAUACAGGUCUUUGAGAUGUUCCUCAUGGUGUUGGUAAAUAAAGCUGAAGAUAUGUUCCAGAGCAAAACUAUUUUUUCCAAAUAUCAAAAGUCAUCAUUUUUAAGUUCCAAUAGCUUAUCUUACUAAACACCUAAAAUAUACAUAAGCCCCUGAUAAAGGGUAAAGGGUAAGUAAUGGAAUCUAGCUACAGCCCCAUAGUGAAUCUAGCAUUAUAUACUAGAAGAACUGAUAGUCAACAUUUGAACUGUCUUUUUCCCUCUCUAUGCAGAAAUGAAUAGGUAUAUCGAUUGUGCUCAUAUAAAAUUGUCCAAACUGUGCGCCUCUUGCAUGUUUUGAGCCUUUAAGAAAGAAAAGGGGUAGAAUGACUUUUAUUUGGCAGCACUUAACUUUAGAGUUUGGAUAAUGAGAUCCUUUGCCACUAGCACGGUGGUACUAGUCGUUCCUACAUAACCCAAAAUUGAGGAAUCCAUAUAAACCUUUUUUCCUCCAAGGGAAAAAAAGAAAUUGGCAUGUCAUAGAACCAGGACUUAUUUGUUCAUCACAUGGUCUCUCAAAAUUAAACUGUCCCAGAUUUUUUAUUUGGUAAAUACUCUCAUGCAUAGCUUAGCACUACAAAAACCAGAGUCCCUUCAUAUUCAAUUGGAAACUAUCACAAGACAUCGAAUGCAAUCUUCAACGAGAAAAUAAACUCCACCUAUUGCCAUCAGGAUGAAGCUCGCAAAUUUGAUUGUCGUCGCCAAUAGCGAAUAAAUACCCUGAGGAUGUCAAGCCCUGGAUAGUGACCACAUUCUCCACUACUUGAUCCCCAUUAUUUUCUUGUAUGAUGACUCUCUGCCCACUGUGUAACCAUGUUCUAUGGUACAGCUCCUCAAGAGUUUGGAAUCCUUGAUUUAUGAAAAGAUCGUAGAGAUUUUCAAAUUUGUUAAAAAAAGCUGCAAUAAUUUCUUCUCUUCUUAAUUGGAAAGCAGCAGCAGAUAAUUCUCUUAUUAUUGCAUUCAAGCAUGUCGUUGGUUUCUCAUUAUUGACAUUCAAACCUAUACCAGCACUAACAUUGAACUUCUUUGAUUUAUAUGUUGAAGUGCAUAGGAUGCCACCAACUUUAAGGCCAUUUAGGUAAAGAUCAUUUGGCCAUUUUAUCUUAACAUCAAGAAAUGGCAAGCCUUUUCUGUGACAAACAUCUUUUAUUGCCUCUGUAACAGCAAGGGACACCACGUAUUGCAACAAAGGCACAACUCGCCCAUCCUCCAUUUGAACAGUAAACGAAAACAACAAGCAACCUAAUGGAGAUUCCCACACAUUCUUUGAUCGACCUUAGCAAUCAAUCAAUAAACGAUUACUAACUAGAAAAGCAUGUAGAACCGCCAAUUCACAAACAAAAGAAUUAUAACUCCAAACCUCGUCCCUUAUAUUGAACAUCAGCAACACAAGCUGCGCGCCAAUUGGAAGCUCACAGAAAUUUUUGCCAAAAACCAAAAUAUAACAAAAGCAUUCAAAUAUGCACACAAUACAAGUAAAGGGAAGAUUUCUAUUGGGUGAUACUUGGUGCUCACUGCGAAACGAUGUCGUGAGUCGAAGUUAAUCAGAGACCAAAUGAGCAACCUACCGAAUCGAUUAGUGGAAAGAGAAUUGAAGAACGGCUCCACAUUGAAAGGCUCUUCUUUGUCCAGUUUAGGAAUCUCCGAUUCCAAGAGUAUGGAAACUUCCGUAUUACUAGGGAGUUUAAUAGCACUAUUUUUCUUCAGAGAUUGAACGAUUUCCUUCACUGCAGAUGAUUUUCCAGAUAAUACAAGACUUCAGGUCGUACUGCCGCCGCCGCUAUCCAUGGCAGCCACUGAUCGGCAGAGUUUAUUUCUUCGGUUUUUUUUGAGAGGGAAGUUUUUCUCUUUACCGGGAGUGAGGAACCGAUGCAAGUUAUAGGCACAGCGAUGCUUUAUUUAUUUAUUUUUUUUUUCUCAGAGGCGGUUUUAUAGCCGUAGAUUUUAAGUAUGGGACCCAUCAUACGCAUCGUUCGAUUGAGAUGGCUUAACUUGUACAAUUUUUUGUUACUUCAUAGCAGUGUGCAUUUUGAACUUUCCGGAGGCAGGGCAGAGAGCGCGCCGCUUGCUCGAGUGGCCAUGGAGGAGUUGCAGAGCGCUCUUCAAGAUUGGGGUUUAGCUGUUUCAAAUGUUCCAGAGAAAGGACGGUGUCUUGUCACCAUAAAGGAUCUCUACCCAGGAGAAGUAAUUAUAAGCCAAGAACCUUACGUCUGUGUACCAAACAACUCAGCAACUGAGUCGCGGUGCGAUGGAUGUUUCGCUUCAGGAAACCUCAAGAAGUGCUCAGCUUGUCAAGUUGUGUGGUACUGUGGGAGCAAAUGCCAGAAGUCUGAGUGGAAGUUGCAUCGUCUUGAGUGUGAUGCUCUCUCCAAGCUCGACAAGGACAGGAGGAAGUCUGUUACACCUUCUAUACGUUUGAUGGUGAAACUCUACCUUCGGAGAAAAUUGCAAAGUGAGAAGACUAUCUCGGCCACUGCUACAGACAAUUAUAAUUUGGUGGAGGAGUUGGUGGCUCACAUGAAAGACGUUGAUGAGGAGCAACUGGUACUAUAUGCAAAGAUGGCCAACCUUGUGAACUUGAUUCUUCAGUGGCCUGAUAUCAACAUAAAAGAGAUUGCAGAGAACUUUUCCAAGCUUGCGUGCAAUGCCCAUACCAUUUGUGAUAGUGAACUGAGACCCCUGGGCACAGGACUGUAUCCUGUCGUUUCCAUUAUUAACCACAGCUGCUUACCCAAUGCUGUUUUGGUAUUUGAGGGAAGGCUGGCUGUGGUACGUGCUGUACAACAUAUACCAAGAGGUGCUGAGGUGAGGCAUACUUUUUCUUAGUCAUUGUGUUCUGCAAAUUAACUGAAGAAGUGUAGAGGUUGCAGUUCAUUUGGCCUGGACCUGCUUAUUUGACAAUAAUGGAAAGAGCUUGAUCAUCCUGAAUAUUUUGUCAGAUUUGGUUGGUUGUCUUGUAAAAAGUUAUUAGAUGUAUUCUUCACCAUGGAUCAAUAUCUCAAGAAUUGGUUUUCUUUUUUUGCUCUUCUUUUUAGCAUUUUCCAGGAUUAAACCAACUUUGUUCUGAGUCUCUGUUAUUUGAAAAUAUGAUGUUGUUUGAUAAUAUUGCCGUGUUCUAAAAUUAUAUUGUAGUGUUCAAUGCUAUUUCAGUAUUAUCUUCUUCACAUCAAUUUUAGAAUGAAUUUUUUGGUUAUGUUUUAGGUGAUGAUAAGUUACAUAGAGACUGCUGGAAGUACUAUGACACGGCAAAAAUCUCUCAAACAACAGUAUUUUUUUACUUGCACGUGUCCCUGCUGCAUUAAAGUGGUAAUUCGUAAUUAAAUUUAAUAAGAGACUUUCUUUUGUUGAUUUUUUGCAUGUUUGUCUAACAGUGAAAAUCCAGUGGACAUGUUUUUAUAGAUUAUUCGUCUUGUAGUUUGGGUUUAAGCCCAUUUUCACUCAACCAUCUUGUGCUAAGGGACUCCUCUUGCUGGUUUUUCUUUCUGCUAAAGUUAACUAAAAGUGCAGAUUUAAGCUCAAAAAAUAACAUUGUUUAUUGUGUUCUGCAGAGGGACUGAAUUAACUUGAUUUUAACAUACUUUAUAGUAAGUCUACAUGAUUUCUUAAAGAAAAUCCAUUUAUAUACUUUGACUGUGAAAAUUAGCCUAAGAAGAAGGUUCUCUAUAUAUGCAAUAUACAUGUAGCUACGUGCAAACAUAUAUUAAUUGUCAGUUAAUAAUGGUUAUGUUAUAUUGAAGGGUCAGCAAGAUGAUAUUCGAGAAAGUGCAAUUCUGGAAGGUUACAGAUGCAAAUAUGAUAGAUGCAAUGGUUUCUUGCUUCGUGAUUCUGAUGACAAAGGCUUUGUGUGCCAACAGUGUGGCCUCCUUAGAAGCAAGGAAGAGGUGAAAAAGAUAGCAGCUGAAAUACGAGCAACUUCAGACAAGGCUUCCAAGUCUCUGUCCUCCGGCAAUCUGCAGGAAGCCAUUUCUAUGCAUAAGAUGAUUGAGAAACUUCAACAGAAAUUGUUCCAUCCCUUUUCAAUUAGCUUGAUGCAAACUCGAGAUAAGCUGCUAAAGAUGUUGAUGGAACUGAAAGACUGGAGAGAUGCUCUGUCGUAUUGCAAAUUGACCAUUCCUGUGUAUCAAAGAGUAUAUCCAGAAUUUCAUCCUCUGCUUGGAUUGCAAUAUUAUACUAGUGGAAAACUCGAGUGGUUGCUUGGGAACACGGACGAUGCAAUCAAAUCGCUGACCAAAGCAGUGCACAUACUUCGAAUAACUCAUGGAACAAAUACGCUCUUCGUGAAAGAGCUGAUAAUGAAGUUGGAGGAAGCGCGUGCUGAAGCUUCUUACAAACUUUCAUCUAAAGAUGAUGAGUAGCGAGGUCUGUCAUAUUUGGUAUUGUUAGUGCUAACAUUAGUAUCGCUGCAAGGCAAUGGCCUGAAAAAGGAGACCAUUCUAGGGUUUGAUAUGCCUAGCUAGAUGUCUCAGCAAACGUCAAGCUGGAUUAAAAGGACAUAUUCUUAAGGCUGUUUCUGCUUAAGCCUUGGCAACCCAUCCACAUUUCUUUGAUGACUAUAUAUAUAUAUAUUGGCUGCAAAGUUGAUGAUUUGGUGUUUUGUUAAAUCAGGAUUUUAUUGUACGCUAACAAUUCAUGAAUGUCAGACUUUCAACACUAAUGUGCUCCACAUGAUUUAUCAUUCAACCUCCUAUCCCACAAAUCUUGGAUAUUUCUACCUACGCG